GGGGUGGUGGCUCAGUUGGCUAGCGCGUAGGUCUCAUUGCUGUUGAGUGAUCCUGAGGUCGAGAGUUUGAGCCUCUCUCACCCCA
rfam:Ipomoea nil DNA, scaffold: scaffold1317, cultivar: Tokyo-kokei standard.